rnacentral:rRNA from 1 species
GACGAACGCUGGCGGCGUGCCUAAUACAUGCAAGUUGAGCGCUGAAGGUUGGUACUUGUACCAACUGGAUGAGCAGCGAACGGGUGAGUAACGCGUGGGGAAUCUGCCUUUGAGCGGGGGACAACAUUUGGAAACGAAUGCUAAUACCGCAUAAAAACUUUAAACACAAGUUUUAAGUUUGAAAGAUGCAAUUGCAUCACUCAAAGAUGAUCCCGCGUUGUAUUAGCUAGUUGGUGAGGUAAAGGCUCACCAAGGCGAUGAUACAUAGCCGACCUGAGAGGGUGCUCGGCCACAUUGGGACUGAGACACGGCCCAAACUCCUACGGGAGGCAGCAGUAGGGAAUCUUCGGACAUGGACGAAAGUCUGACCGAGCAACGCCGCGUGAGUGAAGAAGGUUUUCGGAUCGUAAAACUCUGUUGGUAGAGAAGAACGUUGGUGAGAGUGGAAAGCUCAUCAAGUGACGGUAACUACCCAGAAAGGGACGGCUAACUACGUG